CCUACGGGAGGCAGCAGUGGGGAAUAUUGCACAAUGGGCGGAAGCCUGAUGCAGCGACGCCGCGUGAGGGAUAAAGGCCUUCGGGUUGUAAACCUCUUUCAGCAGGGACGAAGCGUGAGUGACGGUACCUGCAGAAGAAGCACCGGCUAACUACGUGCCAGCAGCCGCGGUAAUACGUAGGGUGCGAGCGUUGUCCGGAAUUACUGGGCGUAAAGAGUUCGUAGGCGGUUUGUCGCGUCGUUUGUGAAAACCCGGGGCUCAACUUCGGGCUUGCAGGCGAUACGGGCAGACUUGAGUGUUUCAGGGGAGACUGGAAUUCCUGGUGUAGCGGUGAAAUGCGCAGAUAUCAGGAGGAACACCGGUGGCGAAGGCGGGUCUCUGGGAAACAACUGACGCUGAGGAACGAAAGCGUGGGUAGCAAACAGGAUUAGAUACCCUGGUAGUCCACGCCGUAAACGGUGGGCGCUAGGUGUGGGUUCCUUCCACGGGAUCUGUGCCGUAGCUAACGCAUUAAGCGCCCCGCCUGGGGAGUACGGCCGCAAGGCUAAAACUUAAAUGAAUUGACGG
rnacentral:rRNA from 1 species